rnacentral:rRNA from 1 species
GAUGAACGCUGGCGGCGUGCCUAAUACAUGCAGGUCGAGCGAACGGACGAGAAGCUUGCUUCUCUGAUGUUAGCGGCGGACGGGUGAGUAACACGUGGAUAACCUACCUAUAAGACUGGGAUAACUUCGGGAAACCGUAGCUAAUACCGGAUAAUAUUUUGAACCGCAUGGUUCAAAAGUGAAAGACGGUCUUGCUGUCACUUAUAGAUGGAUCCGCGCUGCAUUAGCUAGUUGGUAAGGUAACGGCUUACCAAGGCAACGAUGCAUAGCCGACCUGAGAGGGUGAUCGGCCACACUGGAACUGAGACACGGUCCAGACUCCUACGGGAGGCAGCAGUAGGGAAUCUUCCGCAAUGGGCGAAAGCCUGACGGAGCAACGCCGCGUGAGUGAUGAAGGUCUUCGGAUCGUAAAACUCUGUUAUUAGGGAAGAACAUAUGUGUAAGUAACUGUGCACAUCUUGACGGUACCUAAUCAGAAAACCACGGCUAACUACGUG